AGAGUUUGAUCCUGGCUCAGGAUGAACGCUGGCGGCGUGCCUAAUACAUGCAAGUCGAACGAGGCCCUCUUCCUUCGGGAGGAGGUGUCCAAGUGGCGAACGGGUGAGUAACACGUUGGUGACCUACCCCGAAGAGGGGGACAACCCCGGGAAACUGGGGCUAAUACCCUAUGUGAUCCUAAGGAUUAGAUGCCUAAGGAUGAAAUGGAUGCUUGCAUUCGCUUCGGGAGGGGCCUGCGGCCUAUCAGCUAGUUGGUGAGGUAAUGGCUCACCAAGGCGACGACGGGUAGGGGGCCUGAGAGGGUGGUCCCCCACACUGGAACUGAAACACGGACCAGACACCUACGGGUGGCAGCAGUAGGGAAUAUUGCACAAUGGGCGCAAGCCUGAUGCAGCAACGCCGCGUGCGCGAUGAAGGCCUUAGGGUUGUAAAGCGCUUUUCUGGGGGAAGAGAAAGGACGGUACCCCAGGAAUAAGUCUCGGCUAACUACGUGCCAGCAGCCGCGGUAAAACGUAGGAGGCGAGCGUUAUCCGGAUUUACUGGGCGUAAAGCGCGUGCAGGCGGUUCGGUAAGUCGGACGUGAAAGCUCCCGGCUCAACUGGGAGAGGUCGUUCGAAACUGCCAGACUAGAGGGCAGCAGAGGGAGGU
rnacentral:rRNA from 1 species